GAUGAACGCUGGCGGCGUGCCUAAUACAUGCAAGUAGAACGCUGAAGGAGGAGCUUGCUCUUCUGGAUGAGUUGCGAACGGGUGAGUAACGCGUAGGUAACCUGCCUGGUAGCGGGGGAUAACUAUUGGAAACGAUAGCUAAUACCGCAUGACAACAGUUAUUGCAUGAUAACUGUUUAAAAGGGGCAACUGCUCCACUACCAGAUGGACCUGCGUUGUAUUAGCUAGUUGGUGAGGUAACGGCUCACCAAGGCGACGAUACAUAGCCGACCUGAGAGGGUGAUCGGCCACACUGGGACUGAGACACGGCCCAGACCCCUACGGGAGGCAGCAGUAGGGAAUCUUCGGCAAUGGACGGAAGUCUGACCGAGCAACGCCGCGUGAGUGAAGAAGGUUUUCGGAUCGUAAAGCUCUGUUGUAAGAGAAGAACGAGUGUGAGAGUGGAAAGUUCACACUGUGACGGUAUCUUACCAGAAAGGGACGGCUAACUACGUG
rnacentral:rRNA from 1 species